rnacentral:rRNA from 1 species
GGUAUGAAAGGGUUAACGAAGAAGGUGCUGUGUCUAAAAAUUCAAUUUAAACUAACUUUAAGGUGAAGAGGCCUUUAUGUAAAAGAAGGACGACAAGACCCUAUGAAGCUUUAUCUUAAUUGGAGCUCUCAGGCUCUUAUACGAUUUUGAUGGGAGAUCAGUAGAAAUAAGUCUUCUACUAUCAUAUUAAUCUUACUAGUAUUUCUUAACUUUAUAUGUGUGGCUAGCUACUCUAGGGAUAACAGCGCAAUUUCUCCCGAAAGAUGGUAUUGGAGGGGAAGAUUGCGACCUCGAUGUUGGCUUUAGAUAUCCUAGAGGCGUAGAAGCUUCU